GAGCCAAGGAGGCACCUUGUGCGGGACGCGAGUCUCAAGCGUGUCCCCGGGGAAUCGACAGCUGCGCCGACGCGCGGCGUCAGCGCUGCCGAGGUGACGGCGGCACCGGGAUCCCUGCCGCGCCGGCCCGGCCGGGGUGGAAGCCCGAAGGCUGUCCCUGGAAACGCAGACGCGGCGAUUAGCUGUUGGGGUGCCCGCGCUUCCCCGCACGCGCCGCGGAGCGCCGGGGGCACCUGCUAACGGAGCUAACCUGAGCGGGGGUUUGAACGACUCCGCUUUAAAAAACGGCCCGCCGCCAGGUCACACGAGGGGACGGGGCGCUCCCGCGCUGCGGCCUCGGUCGGCGCUCGGCAGGGGGCGCCGCCCGCCCUCCUCAACCGGCUGGGGUGACGCCUUCGCCGCGGGGAGGCGAGGGACGCCGACAACUACGUGCCCAGUGGAGUCCUGAACCGGCUUCCAUUCGUGGCUCUCAGUGCUUGGCUUUGAAGUAGAGAAAGAAGCCUGGUACUCAUUAGCAGCCACUACCUGCACCUCCUCCAGCCCUCCAGCACCAAUCUGUUUCUAGGUGUACCUAUUCCAGACAUUCCCUUCUGUCCAGGUCCUCUAGAGUGUUUAUCUUCGGUGUUGCCCUCAUCUAAAGGUUAAAGCUGAGUUACUGCUGCAUUUGCUACCCAGCCUGCAGGAAAGGAGAAAAGAGAAUGGAAAAACAUAUGACUAAUGGUUUGAGAUCAAACUGCAGAAAUGACAUUCAGCAAUUUUGCUCACGUCCCACAGGCCCCAUAGGUCCUGUGGUCAUACCUAUCUCCAAAGAAGAGUGGAAAACUUGAGAGUUCGGCUGCUAAGUGAAGAGGAGGUGGAGGAACAUGAGAUAACAGUCAAAGAUGACCACCACACUUUAUUGGGAGGGAGGCACCUGGACAAUGUAUUUGCAUGGGAUCUAAGAUAGUGUACAGCUCUUAUUUCUCUCACUCCUCUGGACUCAGCUCUUUUUGUAUCCCAUGUCCUCCGGACCAUUCACUGUGUCCAGGAAAAAUGAGGUGCUGUAACUGGCCAUGCCUGGGCCACAAGUACAGGCCCAUCACUAAAAGAGAGGCUACUUGCUGGCCAAUAUAACAACACAACUAAGGACCUCUUUUCCAAAUACUGAAGAUAAAAGCUAGCUUUCUUCUCUCCCCAAUGUCAAAUCAUCCCAUGAAGUUUCUGCUAUGCCUCUGGGGCUUAUAUUUUGAUACAACAUGUUAUCAGAUAUUCAUGGAUUGUCUCACUUUUUAUGUAUGAUACUGCUAGUCUCUUGUGAUGGCUGUCAUGAUCAAGUUUAAAGAACAUGGGCACUGCAAUCAGAGAGACCUGGGUUCAAAGGCAGCUCUAUCAGUUGUGAAUACAAAUAGUAUCACCAUGAUUGAUCACCACAUAUCAGGCAUGGUACUUUACAUACACUGUCUACUUUUUCUGCUUCUCAUGCAAACCCUGAGAAGCCCUUUGGUCACCAAUUUUCAGAUCUAAAAAAAAUUCAAAGCAGUAAUUAGUUUUCCCAAAGAUAGUCAGUACUGGAGCGAAAAAGAGUACUCACUCAGUGUAACUCUAGAGACUGGAUCACUAGGAUAAAUUGGUUUUCCAUGUUUUCCUUGCUUUGGAAGCACCUACAGAAAUUUUAGUUUUCAAUAGUAUAUAUCGUUUUAGCAAGAAACCUGUGACUUUUGACAAGUUACUUAUCUUUUCCAAAUCUCACAUUCUUUAUCUGUAAGCUUUGAAAGUUGAGACUAGAUUUCUUAUAUUCAUUUCAGUGUGAAGAUCUGAAUUAUUCUUUCCACUAUUACUGAAUUUCAUGACGCUAACAGUAGAUGGUGCUAUUGAGUAUUGAUUUAAAAACCAGUAAAAACAGUCCUAAUUCCCAAGUACUUAAGUUCUUACAUGGCAGUAUGUGCCUUUAUAUCAGAGCACUGGAAGGUCAGGGCUGCCUUGAACAUGUAUACCUUAGGAGUUUCCUAAGCUCAAAGAUUUGAUGCUACUUUAAAAUACUAAAAAAAAGAAAGUUUAAAUAUGUAAUCCACAUAUUGGCCCAGACUUUCAUUUGCUGUAUUGGAUAUUUUAAGGUGAUUUAUUAACAUUAAAAUUCUGACUAAAACAGAUGACGUCCAUUUCCUAAUUAUUCUGAAGAUAAAUCAUAACCACAGUUUUGCACUCUAAGGCCCAUAAUUGUCUUUCAUGUUUGUUACAGGUAUUUUAGCUCCAUAUAUAUCUUCCUAUAAUUUAAUCUACAGCAAGGAAAAAUCUUUCAUAAAUAUCUUCCCCUUUGUUUCUUAACUUCAAACAAUUUUUUGAAUGUUUUAAUCCUCAAGAUUUAGUCUAAAAAUAAAUACACAGUUUCAUGCCAUAUUGUUGUUUAGUAGCAUAGACCUAUGAUUUUCUGUUAAGGAAAAAUUACAAAAUCAUCUUAUGUGUGGGGAAACAAACCUAGAGAGGUAAAAUAAUUUUCCCAAGAUUAUGUGCCUGCUUAAGCACACAGCUAGUAAAGGUUCCCAGGUUUCCUGCCCUACAGUGUCAGACACUUUUCAUUGUACUUUCUCAGUUUAUACAUUCGCUAGAGUUUGUUUCUGUUUGUCCCUUCUGUUUCAGAAAUUAUUUAAGCAACAUAUUUUAAUGAGUACUUCUUUAUAAAUGUUUUAUACUUCU